rnacentral:lncRNA from 1 species
GCAAAAUAGCAUAUACAUGAACACUUUAUAUUGCUUUCAAUAUUAUUAAUAAUACCAACCCUAUUAACAUUAAAAAAAAUAUUGCUUACAUAAAUGAAUACUACUACUACACUAAUAAAAAUGUAAUAGUGGAAAGGACUAUAUUAUUACAAGUAAUGUGGAUGAAACCACCCUUAGGGUAGUACAAAGCAAAUAUUGAUGGUGCCUUCGACAUAAAAAACAUGGAAGGUGGUAUUGGAACUGCAAUACGUGGCUCGAAAGGACACUGUUGUGUAGGAUCAUCGAUGAAAAUUCUUGCAACAUCACCAUUACAAACAGAACUUAUGGCUCAACGCCACAGUCUUCAAUUAAUAAUCAAGGAAGACCUCUUCCCCGUGGAAUUGGAAACUGAUGCAACGGAUAUAUUAAACAUAAUAUACAAUAACACCCUUACUAACGACAAACUUCCCUUUGAAUGCAGAUCAUUAGUGGAGGCAACCAAGCAUGGCAGGAUAUCAUUCAUGCAUAACUUCAUACAAGGAAAUAGCGUGGCUCACACUUUGGCAAAUAAAGCUCUAAGAAAUAAGACCUUUGAUAAACUAUGUUUUUUGCUAAGCCUCAUAAUUUUUUAGUCGAUCUCUAUUAAAGAGAUAUGGAGGACUUUGUUUAUGUAAGAUCGUGUAGUACAAAACAAUGCGAAACUCUAGCUGCUGUAGGAAAUAUUAGUGCCAUAGAUGGCCUAAUGGUUGGCAAAAGUAAUGCACGUAUAAACAAUAUCUAUAGGGAGGAGACAACCCUCCAUACUUAGCCUUAUAUAUAUAAUAUAUACUUUUCUUUCAAAAAAAAAGAAAAAAAAAGAACACUUUAUAUUGCUUCGUUAAACUUUCAGAUCUUAAUGAAACAAUAUGCAGAAUAAUGAAGCUAGAGUGAAUACUAUCUCAGCUUCUUCUUUAAUCUGAAACAUCAUUUGAAACUUUAUUUGAACUAGAUAAUUGAUUUAAUUCUAAUAGGGAUGCAUCUGAGCCUCUCAUUAGGUUGCUGCAAUUUUAGCCAUGAUUAAAAGAAACAGUCAUAUUCAUACCAGCCCCAUAGGCUUAAAUUUGAACCCAAAUUAAACAUGCGAACUGUCACAGAGAAGAGACAUUUAUCAAGUACAUAAAUGACUACAUACUAUCAGAACAUUUAUUAAGACAUAUAGAUGGUCAAUUACAGAAAAGUACAUUUAAUAUAGCAUUUAAAUAACUAUUACAUUACUGAGAGUAAAAUCAGUACCUGGACAAAGACAAAUGAUCCUUAGAAUAUCUAGAAAAGGAUUUGAGAUUCAGUAGGAGCACAACCAGCAAAUAUCCAUAGCUAGAUCCACUCCAAUAAACCAUAAAGAUGCAAGAGGAUUUAUUUUGAAAUAAUGAAAAACUACCCCAAAUUACUGAUUCAUUUGAAAAAAUGUAUAGAAAAGAAACCAAUUUAAGCUUUACUGCUCCCUGCUGUUUCUCUUUUAUUUUUUGCAGAUUUUUAGUAGCUAUGAAAAGUCAGAUUUAUGACAAAAAUCUAGCAGCCAUCUUUUUCUUUUUCCUCUUUUUUUUAUACAGACUCGAAAAAGGAUCUUUUAUAGAGGAUAUUUAGGACAACAAAGCCCUUUUUCCUCAUUCAAAUACACCCCUUAAACCUUUAACUUAAUUUACUUACAUCCUUUCCCAUAGAAUUUUCCUCUCUCUUUUCUAAGCUGGUCCUUGUCAGCCCUUAUCUAGAAGCUUCUAUUUGUUAGGAUAAAAUUUCCUCAAACCCUAUCCAAAUUGAAAACCUCAGUAACCUUGUUUAUACCCUUUUUUACAAUUGUGACAUUUAUCCUAGGUGGUACUAGACUUCUGGGUCACUUAAACCACAAGCCCAAUAUUUACUUGGGCCUUUGCACUAUCAGACCCAAAUUCAAACCUAACCCAUAAACCAAAACAACUCAAUCAUGAACAAAAAAAAACCAAAAAAGGAGUAAAUUUAGGCAUGAAAUUGUCACCACAGUAGGGGUUAUGAAAAUAGGAUGAGAGGUUUACCAAUUGAAUCGACCAACGCUUCGAUAUCCCUGAGAAAAUAGUGACAAAUUGAUUCAAACACCCGUUAGCACACAAAUUGAGGUCACUAUAAAUGAGGUUUUCAAGGCCUCGGAAGCGUAGAGUAGGUAAGAAAACAGGUGAUGACCCUUUGGGCCGUCACAUUCUCCACCUUUAAAAUAAUGAUUUGUCCUCAAACGGACAAAAGAAGGAAGUACCUGAGUCGGGAAAUAGAUGAUGAUAAAGGAAAACUCUGCGACCUCGACUGUCGAACCUGCCGGUCUAUAAUGGCCACCGGCUCCUCCUCAUAAGACAGAUCCUUGUCCACAUGGUCAGUUCUAAAAUCUAAUACGUAGGAUGGAUUGCCGUGAUACUUCCGAAUCUCGGCCAAUAGUGAGAUUUGUAACAAGAAUACUAGUGGACUUUCUUCCACAACUAGUACUUCAUGUCACAAUCCUCAACACAUGCUAAGAAAGACACGAGACACAGGUUCAAGGAAAUUAAGACAUUCAAACAUUUAAAAGCCUAGAAUACGACAAAAAUAGAAGAUGGUUUAGGUUUAUAAGUGAUUGAUUCUUUAGGUUGAAAGUAGGGGAUUCAAUGGGUUUCAUCAUAAAUUGAGGACCAAAUAAGGAAAAAUUGAAUAAAAAGCAUAAAGUUCGAAUUUUUAUCCUUAGUCACUAACUCAGAGAAAAUGAUUGGUUUUUUUAGAGAAAUCAAUGUCAGAAUAUGAACGAGGGGGCGAUGGAGAUUGUGUGGUUGAAGUUUGAGGGAAUUUGAAGGUGGUCCACCGUUGUAAGGCAGUUUUCGGGCAGCAGAAGAACGGUGGAAGGGAGCAGCGAUAUUGACAGAGAUUGGGAUUUUAGGUCUAAGUUUAAUUGGGGUGAAUUGUGAGGCCACGGAUAAGGUUUAGUCGUUUAAUAAGGUAGAGGAGUUGAAAUGACGUAGUUUUAAAGUGUAAAUUGGACUGGGUUUUGAAAAAAAAAAUAAGCUGGACAUGGG